rnacentral:rRNA from 1 species
GAUGAACGCUGGCGGCGUGCCUAAUACAUGCAAGUCGAGCGAACAGACGAGGAGCUUGCUCCUCUAACGUUAGCGGCGGACGGGUGAGUAACACGUGGAUAACCUACCUAUAAGACUGGGAUAACUUCGGGAAACCGGAGCUAAUACCGGAUAAUAUAUUGAACCGCAUGGUUCAAUAGUGAAAGACGGUUUUGCUGUCACUUAUAGAUGGAUCCGCGCCGCAUUAGCUAGUUGGUAAGGUAACAGCUUACCAAGGCAACGAUGCGUAGCCGACCUGAGAGGGUGAACGGCCACACUGGAACUGAGACACGGUCCAGACUCCUACGGGAGGCAGCAGUAGGGAAUCUUCCGCAAUGGGCGAAAGCCUGACGGAGCAACGCCGCGUGAGUGAUGAAGGUCUUCGGAUCGUAAAACUCUGUUAUUAGGGAAGAACAAAUGUGUAAGUAACUAUGCACGUCUUGACGGUACCUAAUCAGAAAGCCACGGCUAACUACGUG